GAUGAACGCUGGCGGCGUGCCUAAUACAUGCAAGUCGAGCGAACAGACGAGGAGCUUGCUCCUCUGACGUUAGCGGCGGACGGGUGAGUAACACGUGGAUAACCUACCUAUAAGACUGGGAUAACUUCGGGAAACCGGAGCUAAUCCCGGAUAAUAUAUUGAACCGCAUGGUUCAAUAGUGAAAGACGGUUUUGCUGUCACUUAUAGAUGGAUCCGCGCCGCAUUAGCUAGUUGGUAAGGUAACGGCUUAUCAAGGCAACGAUGCGUAGCCGACCUGAGAGGGUGAUCGGCCACACUGGAACUGAGACACGGUCCAGACUCCUACGGGAGGCAGCAGUAGGGAAUCUUCCGCAAUGGGCGAAAGCCUGACGGAGCAACGCCGCGUGAGUGAUGAAGGUCUUCGGAUCGUAAAACUCUGUUAUUAGGGAAGAACAAAUGUGUAAGUAACUAUGCACGUCUUGACGGUACCUAAUCAGAAAGCCACGGCUAACUACGUG
rnacentral:rRNA from 1 species